GAGACAGGCGUGGCCUCCUGUUGUCCUCACGACAGGACAUUAUAUUUGGAACAUUGGCCUGUGGAGCUCGGUCCAUUGGAGUCGACAGCCAGCUCUGAACUCCUUACUAGCCACGUGGCUACAGGAAAGGCCCUCCCCCUUGUGCACUGGAUUUCUAGUCUGAUUUCUUCAACAAUGAGGCGGUGAUACCCCCUCCAAGGUCUUUGAGGUGAUGGAAAUGCUGCAAUGUUGUUCACAGACUGAUGUAAGCAGGGCCGUGUGCCUAAGGAGGGAAUCAGAAGACACAACUUGGGAAUCUGGGAGACAGAUCUCAUUUAAACAAGCUUUCAAAAUGAGAACGUCGGGUCUCCAUUGAUCCAAAAUCCAGCUGGCUGUGAGAUCCUACAGAGGUGACGUGUGAGCCAAGAGUGAAAUCUAAGCAUGUGAGCUGUCAUUUGGACCAGUUGGGAAAGCCCGAGAACAGAGGUCACCUGGCAGAGUGGAGACCACAGACAACCUGCUGCACGUGAGCCAAGCAGGUAUGAAAACUGAGGUUUGGAGGUGCCCAUCAUCUCCAAUUGGGAAGCGGAAGAUGGAUGGGGCCAGCCUGACUGAUGCCUUUUUAUCGUGCAUGGAGGUAGCCAAGUGCUGUAUUUGAGUUUGGGGGAGAGAUAUAAUUAGUUCCAACAGUUUUCCUUAAACCAAUAAACAUUUGUUC